rnacentral:rRNA from 1 species
AAAACCCUAGCCUUAAGGAUGGGGAUAACAGACGGAAACGACUGCUAAUACCGAAUACGUUCUAAGCAUCGCAUGAUGCAUAGAAGAAAGGGUGGCCUCUACAAGAAAGCUAUCGCCUUAAGAGGGGUUUGCGACUGAUUAGGUAGUUGGUGAGGUAACGGCUCACCAAGCCGACGAUCAGUAGCCGGUCUGAGAGGAUGAACGGCCACACUGGAACUGAGACACGGUCCAG